rnacentral:rRNA from 1 species
AUGCCAUCGCCGCCCGCAGUCAAUGUGUGCAUGAAGAAGAAGAAGAAGCACUUCGUGAUGAAGUACAAGAACGACGACAUCAAGCACGAUUGCAACGCCAAGUUCCACAAGCUCGACAAGAACACCAAGCUCGACAAGAACCACAAGUUUGCCUCGAGCAACAAGACCAUCAAAAUCCUCCACGCCAAGAGCAACUUGAGGUUGACAAUCCACCACAUCAAGGGUGUCAUCAUCCUUGACCCCAACACAAUGAAGAGCAACGCUACAGCAAGCUCAAGUUCACCAUGCCCAAGUUCUCCGGAAGCAAUGACCCCGAAGAGUACCUUUCGUGGUGAAAGUGCAAUCAUGCCCUUAAUCGUAUUUUGA